CACAGAUUCAGGAAUGGUUAAAAAAUCACAAUAUGCACUUAAGACUAACCUUACAAAUAGCAGUGCUGGGCGAUUUGGAAAGCCAUAGUCAGUCAAUAAAUAAUACAAUAAUACUCGUAGGAAAGGUUUUCAUCUUUAGCUCACAAUCUGUGAAUAAUAUACGAUUAGAAAGGUUAAAAAAUGAUUUUAAACAUCACAGCACAAUUGAAAAAUAUAUGGGACAUGGAAACCAAACGAGGGUGGUCUAUCGUGAUAGAUGGGAUGGGCUGAGGGGCGGGAAUAAAGAGCUGAGGUCUAUGGUGAUAGGUGGGAUGGGCUGAGAGUGGCUGAGGGGGUGGGAUUAAAGAGCUGAGGUCUAUGGUGAUAGAUGGAAUGGGCUGAGAGUGGCUGACGGGCGGGAUUAAAGAGCUGAGGUCUAUGGUGAUAGGUGGGAUGGGCUGAGAGUGGCUGAGGGGGUGGGAUUAAAGAGCUGAGGUCUAUGGUGAUAGGUGGGAUGGGCUGAGAGUGGCUGAGGGGGUGGGAUUAAAGAGCUGAGGUCUAUGGUGAUAGGUGGGAUGGGCUGAGAGUGGCUGAGGGGGUGGGAUUAAAGAUCUGAGGUCUAUGGUGCUAGGUGGGAUGGGCUGAGAGUGGCUGAGGGGCGGGAUUAAAGAGCUGAGGUCUAUGGUGAUAGGUGGGAUGGGCUGAGAGUGCCUGCAGGGGCGGGAUUAAAGAGCUGACGUCUAUAGUGAUAGGUGGGAUGGGCUGAGAGUGGCUGGGGGGCGGGAUUAAAUAACUGGUGUUUGGUAAUGUAUUAUUGUCAUGUGACUGCUUUAUAUAAAAGUACCAUGUAUGUUAAAUGUGUAUGUUAAAUGUGUAUGUUAAAUGUGUAUGUAAAAUGCACAAUGUGUAUGUUAAAUGUGUAUGUAAAAUGU
ensembl:lncRNA